rnacentral:lncRNA from 1 species
CCCCUUCGUGAAAGAAGAGAAAAUUUUCUAUUCUCAUUUCUUCCUUCUCUCUCUUAAAUCCAACAAAAAAAAAUCUUCACUACCAAAGUUGUUUGUUAAAAUCUCAUAGAAAACCCAUUUGUAAACCUAAUUCCACCAUCACAUUCAUCAUUAGAAGCAAGUGUUUUCAUGAGCUAGAGAAAGCUUGAGUUAGUAUGAGAAAGUGAAGAAUAAGGUAAGAAACUGUAUUUUUGACAUCUUUAGUACGAACAUUUAAGGUUGUUUGGUAUGAUUUCUUUAUGAAUAUGAUUUUUGGGUAUUAUGUGUGAUAUGUAUUGUGAAUGAAAGAAAUUGAUAUGUGGGUGAUGAAGUUUUAGGCUAGUGAGAAUAACGAAAAUUGGUGAUUUUGCUGUCUAAAAGGAAGGUAAGUACUCAAGGAACCAUCUUUACCUUAUUUGAAGUAAAAUUGAUAAUCCUUGGAGUUUAAAUGGUUAAAUGUUAAGAUGAGAUUACUCAUUAAUGUUCAUAAGUGAAGGAAAUAGUUUAAUCAAAAUGAAAAUAGUGACAAAUAUAAUUAUGCCGUAGUCUUAGACUAGAAUGUGAAUAUUGAGAACUAAUGCAUUUUGAUAGGUAUUAAGUCAAUAAUAGACUUGAAAUAUGAUAAAUAACAAUUUUAAUGAUGAUGAUGAUUAAUUUGUGUAGAAAAGCCAGUUAAGACAUUAAAUAGGUCAUCAAGUGAAUUGUUGUAUAAUAUGAAAAAGGAGUAUUAAUGCCUUGACUAAUGUCUCAAGGGGUGAGCGUUCGAUUGAAUGAAACCGAGUCAAAUGAAAAAAGUUCGAGUUAAUUGAGUUGAAGAGUCUUAUUUUAACAUCCUAACUUGAUUUGAAAUUUUCUCGAAUCGAAUCGAGUGAAAUAGAAUUCGAUCCGAUUCGAAUUGAAUAUAUUUGUUUAAGUUAAAUUUUAAAAAAUAACUCUGGUGUUGUUUGUUUUUAUGCAAUCUUUUUUAAAAAUAUUUUUCUUUAAAGUUUUUAAACAUGAUCAUACAAAGAAAAAUUGGAGUAAACAAGUGAACAAAUAAAGCAGUCCAAGUAAAUAACAAUAACAACACAACAAGAUUAUAACAGAAAAUAUAAGCAAAAGUCCAAAAUACAAUAGAAAACUACAUCAGUCCAAACAACAAAACAAAAAUAAAAACAACACAACAAAAGUCCAAAAAUCAGCAAUAAUAACCAAUAAACUAGUAACAAAAACACAUCAGUUCAAAAAUCGUUAUAGAAUAGCGUAAGCUUCUUCUUUUUCUUUAAACACUAUAAGUAAAAUUGAAACAUCUAUUUACUUUAUAAACUAAUGCUAAGUAUAUUAUUAUCUUUUUGAUCUUCGGGUAUUUUGGACAAAUCUAGCAAAUUUAAAAACAAAAGUGUUAGUUAAAUUAUGAGAAUGCUUACUAAUAUAGAUAACAUUAAAACUUAUUUUAUGAAUCAAAAUUAAUAUAUUUCCAUUUUUCAUGGUUUGAAGUUCAUUAACAUAGUCUUUAAGAUUGAUGAGAUCAUUAGAUUUCUGAAGCCAAUCUUGUGUGCAAACCAAAGCCUCGACCAUAGAAGGAGUUAGAGGACUUCUAAAAUUAUCGAGAACACGUCCACACAUGAUAAAUGCACUUUUCGAGACAACUAUUGAGAUAGGAAUAGCAAGAAUAUCUCGAGCCAUUUGUGCAAGAAUAAAGAAUCUAAGACUGUUUAUUUUUCACCACAAUAAUAAAUCAAAUGAACUUGGAUUGUUUACUUUAUCCUCCUCACCCAAAUACUUAUCCAAGUCAGAUUUACUUUAUAGUCCAACUUGUUUCUUCUUCUUAAAGUAUUUUUGCUUGGCCAAGCCUGUUUUCAUUUUUGACUGAUCAAUUUCCGUUAAACUGAAAAUAUUUGUUGAAGAACUAGAUUUUACAUUCAAACAAUUGAAUUCUCCUAACAUUAGAAGAAUACUCAUUGAACAAUCAAUGAAAUUCUUUAUCAAUCAUUUUCGUUAUGUUAUUAGCAACAUUAGGAAAAGGCAAGUUGACUCCAAAUUCUAAAAAGUUCAUUUUACAUCGCGGAUGAAAGAUGACAGUCAAGUAAACUAGCAUGUUGAUCUUGUUUCCUUCACCACAAUACUUAUUAUACUUAUCCCUCAUUUUAGAAGUCAUAAAAAUUAUAUCUAAUGCUCCACAAUUUGCCACCCAUAAAAAAGUCAAUGGACAUAUGUUGAUACUUCAAAAAGUGAAUAAGAGGUAACAUGCAAAGAUCUAGACACCUUCAGUGUAAGAUAAUAAAAAUGCUUUAACACUUUUAUAACUCUUCGAUCCCAAUCAUCAAAAGUAGGUAUUCCAUCUCCAGUAGUGAGGUCAAGAAAAAAGUUAUGACCAUCACGUACAUAUGAUUCAAAUGCACGUUCAUAUUUCUUUUCCACAUUUAACACUAUAUAUGUUGUGGUCCAUCAAGUAGACACAUCUAAACACAAUUGAGCCUUACUACCUAUCAUUUCUUCUUUUGCUUGUUGGUUGAAUUUUGUCAAACUUGAUGGUGAUGCUCUUAUAUACCUCGUAACACCUCUAACUCGAUCCACAGACAUAGAAGCAUCCUUAAUACCGUAUUGCACAAUGAGAUUAAGAAUGUGUGCAACACAUCUCAUAUGCAUAAAUUUCCCGUUUGCAACAAAAGCAUUUCAAUAAUUCAAUAUCUUUCUCAAAUAUUCAAUGACAACACUAUUGAUGGAUAUAUUAUCAAACGUAAUAGUGAAGACCUUUUCAAUCCCCCAAUCUCGAAGACAUUUUUCAAGGGCUUGACCUAUGCUUUCACCUCUAUGAGCAAAUAUUGGAAAAAAACUUAUAAUCUUUUUUUUGCAACCUCCACUCGUCAUCCACCUAAUGUGUUGUUAAAACCAUGUAAGAUAUCUUCUGCAAUGAAGGCCAAGUGUCUAUCGUCAAACAAACUCUACUUAUAUCUUUUUCAAAACAAUUCUCCAUUACUCUUCAUGGGGUUAAAUUUAUAAAAACAAUCUCUUCUAAUUGUCCAAUGAGAUGGAAGACUAAACUGUGGGCAUGCUAUAAAAAGAAAGUAUUUGAGCACUUCUCCCUCUACAACUUUAGAAGGUAAUUCAUUCGUAAUUAUCAUAUGAACCAAUGCCUUUCUAACAACAUCUUUGUCAAAUACCCAAGUUGAUAAAUCCGUUGUUUCUUGACUAGUCUUCACAAAUGUUAAUUUCAAUUACUUUGAGUUAGAAGUAUUAUCUUGAGGUCUUUUUAGGCAUGUUUUCAAAUGAUUAUUCAAAUUAGUUGUAGAACCCAGAAUUGAUUCCAUGGUGUAAGUAACAUCACAAGCAUUGUAUCUUGCUCUCUUCUCCCCCUUUUUAGCUACAUAUUUGGUGAAACGGUUCCAACAAGCCGCCAUUGGAGUAAUCUUUCUUUGAACACUUCCUUUGGUUGUUGUUUGAUCAUCUCUACUUGGAGAAGAAUUUUGUGAACUUUGAGUUGGACCAUCUCGCCUUAGAUCACUCAUCUACAAGUAAACAAAAAAAUUUAACAAUAGUAAAGUAUUUAAUCAUGCCAUGUAUGAAAAGGUGAAUCCUGUUAUCGACCUUAAAAAUCUUAAUUUAGACUUUCACUAUGACAAAGGGUAGUGUAAUAUGCAUCAAUUUGUCACUUCAAGCUACAAAUUCAACUUCAUUUUAGAGGGAACCAAUGCAUUUAUUAAUACACUGCUACCCCUCUAAGAAACUAAAAAUAUGCAAUAGUCCAAAUAAUUGUUGAAAACCAAUUUUUUUUAUCCCAAAAUUGAUGGUUGUAAUGUUAACGUCUCCCUAAAUCCAACUUGUCGGUAAAGAUGAAAUUCUUAAAUAAUAAUUAAAAAAUGAACUAUUAAAGAUAGAAUUGAAGCUUUAACCGACACCCAUCACAAACAUCAAAUGUUUAUGUUUACUGGAUGGUUUUAAAACGCAAACCAUGUCCCAUAAGCAUAACCUAUGUGGGAAUUUGACAAAAUCUCCAACAACACUACUUAAUUACACUACUUAAGUAAUGAAUUUUUGUUUAAUGGACCUUAUUAAUUUCACGCCUCUUAAUAUUUCAAAUUCACCACACAUGUAUAUUAUGCAGACUUAAUACUGCUUUACAUUAUAUCCAAAAUCAUUUAUCACUAAAACAUUUUUAGAUGAAAGAGGUUUUGGGUUAAAACAUUAUUAAGAACAAAAUUACCAAAAAAAGAAAAGAGAAAAACCUAAACUUGAGCUGUUUCGAUACGGUGCUGAGUAAGAAAAACUGAUGAACAAACAAUUUUUAGGAAAGUACCAUGAAAUGAAGAAGAAGGAUAGUUUAAUCGGAGAUCAGAGAUGGGUGAGGGACCACUGAACGGGAGAGAGAUUUCAAUUUUCAAAAACUAAUGAGUGACGAAGAAGAAGAUGGUUUAGUUUUAGGAUUUUUAGAAUUUAGGGGUAAAGGGUGAGGCUGGGGCAGACUGGGGCGGAAUAAAAGGGUCUAUUUUAGGGGAAGUAAAAGGGAUAAAAAUGUAAAAUACCUAAACUAAAUAAUAAUAUAAAUUGAAAUUUUAAAAUAAUAUAGUUUGGCAUUUGAUUAACUCGAACUAGUCGAGUUAUUUGAAUUCGAAAAAUCAAGUGGACUCAAACUUGAUAUUUGAAAAAAAAUCGAGUUGAUUCAAUCAAUUCGAUUCAAAUAAUUUAAAAUUUGAUUUAUUUAUUUAUUUUUUUGAGUCAAAAAAAAUUUUGCUCACCCCUAAAUGUGUGAAUAGGACUUUGGAAAAUGGAACAUUUUGUAAGAUAUAAAGUGUAAUGUCAAAUUGCAAUAAUAGAAUGAUUGGUAGCUCGUAGGGCUUUUAUGAAUUUGUAUUAUUAAAUGUUGAACGUAUACUGAGAAUCUCAUGUUGAACUUAAGAGUGUGAACUUUUAAAUUGAAAUGUGAAUGAUUGCCCAAUGAAUGCUUAUUUAUUAAUAUGAAAUGUUGAUACCACCUUAAGAUGUAUCAAGUGCAAAUGUGUAAGCAUAAGUUCCAUGAUGAUUGUAUGAAUUAGUAUGAAAUGAUAUCUCUUUGUGUGUGUAACUAAGAGUGUUUUAUAAAUGGAAUUGAAUUGCUAAUUAAACUUUGCCCUUGUAAACUUAGAGAAGUAGUUAGGAUAUUAUUGGUAUGCUAAUAGGGAUUAGAUAUGAAGUUUCAUUUUUGGGCCUGAAGUUUUGUUUUGACUUGAAACUCUAUUUUGACUUGGAGUUCUAUACUUAUUUGGUUAUAUGUUGGGUUCUGGAGUUAUAUGAUGAUACUUGGAGUUCUGAUGUGUUAUCUAUUGGUCGGGAAAGUUACGUGAUACAUUAAGGCAUGCACUAUUGGAAAAAAUCUGGUUUGAAAACGACUUUCUUUUAAAAUGAAAAAUUAAAAAUUUUAAACCGAUCUGGUUUGUGAUAUUUAUAGCAAUAAAUCCUAGACUGAAAUUGUACCUAUGUUUCAGAUAGAUGGAUCCUUGUUGUUCCUGACUUUCAAUCAAACCAAUUUCUCCUCUAUUCUCGAACUACGAACUGCUUCGAGUAUGGACUAGAACCAAUUGAAUCAAAACACAGAACUAUAAAUUCUUUUCUUCCAUAUGGAAAGAAAAAUUCUCUUCUCAAAUAGAAACUGAUAGAAUCGUUAUUCUAAAAAUAUAUUUAAUUCUAAAAGAAUAAAAAUCUCUCUAUUUUUGGCCAGAAUAGUGAUAUCUUAAAGUUGUGUAAAUUACCUUACUGGUGUCAUCUAUGUAUAGGGAGAGAUGGUAGAACUGUUAUUGAAUUAGAGAAGUUUAUUUAAACUAGAAAAAUGAACUUCUCUAAUUAGGAGAAUAGGUGGCGGCAACCCUAGUUACUAUUAACUAGGGUUAGCCGUCCACCCUAUUCACAUAAGGGGCUUUUGGGCCUCUUCCACAUCGAGUCCAAUUACAAGUACUUCUCAGGAUUUUAACCCAAUACUUUAUAAUUUGAUCCAACCUAAUAUUUUUUUUAUUUCCCAAAAUAAACUUCAUUAAAUACAUAUCGAAUAAUUUUCUCAUCAUAAUUUUACCGAUGAUGAUUUUACCUCUGGAAAAAUUAUGACGAUUUAUCCCUGGUAAAAUUUCAAGAAAAUAUAUUUAAUAUUGAAUCAUUCAACUUGUUCACUAUGAUCGAAUGAUUUAUUUCAUUUUUGGGAUUUAAAAUAGCUUAAAAAUAUAAGCUCAUUCUUCUAAUCAUUUUUGAGAAAUCUAUGUUCAUUACCAUUUCCAUUUUGAAAAAACCACAUUCAUUUCAAAAUGAUUCCAUUUCUCCAUUUUGGAAAAAACUCAUAACCAUUUUGAAUGUUUUUCAUUUCUCCAUUUCUAUUCAUUCUGUUCAUUUUGAUUCAACAUGCUCUUCAUUUCUAGUUUUAAUGAGUUAGCGGAGGGACCGAUUAGACAUAUCAAUUUAAGCUUAAAUAAUUUAUAAUUAAGUUCCAAAUUUACACCUAUUAAUUAUAAACUCAUUAAGUCACAAAGUCAUUCCACUAUAGUAUCGCAACUUGAUUAGUGCACGUCCAAUAACCUUGUCAUAAGUGUGUUACCUUCAUUGGAUAUCCUUAAUCUUUUUGGGAUAAUAUUCGUUCUCCUAGUAUGGUUCUAUUUUAUCUCAUGGUAACCAUUACAUUUUCUUUCAUGAAAAGUUAAUCACUAUCAAAUAGUGAUCAAGUCAUCCAUCACAAUGAUGAACGACAUGUGACCACGUUUCUUUUUUCAUCAACCAUGAAAUGCCAAUGGGAGGAUAUCAUUUACCCAUGUUUUGGGCUAUGAAUUCCACUAUUGUGAAUGACACUACAUACUGCAGAAGUCGUACACUCAAUGCACCAGCUUUCGGUUCUUUAUCCAUUCAAACUCAGGCUUUUACUUACAUCAAAGUGUACAAGUAACUUUGUAACACCCUAAAUCUGAAUCUAUCGCUAGAUAGGGUUACAGAGCAUUACCAAACAACCAGAACAUUUAACAUACAUUUCAUAUAUAAUCAUAAACAUACUAAUCCAAUUCAUAUGCAUGCAUAUCAUCCCUUAAUCAAGCUUUCAAGGCCAUAAAAAAAUUCCUUAGAAAAAAUUCGGGACCCAUUUGAAAACAUUUGGAAAGUUUAAGGAAAAGUUACAAAAUUUUGACUACAGGGGUCACACAGCCGUGUGGCAAGGCCAUGUGCCUCAUGUAACGCCCCAAAUUUUGUAAUUUUAGCUUUUGGAAUAUUUGUUGUAUUCUGCCCUAUUUUUGACAAAUAUAUGCCAGCUUAUGUGAUUAAGUGCUUUGGGGUGUGUUGGGGAGUUCCCAAGUUCGAUCCUUAACUUGGGCUAAAAUUUGGUUUUUAUUUGGAUAAAGCCUGACUUUUGGUUAGUGGGCUUAUAAGAAUUUAUUAGUAGGAACUUAACAGAAUGGGCCUGCUAGUCUAGUGGUUAAGUGGCAAGGGAUUAUGCCUGAGAUCCUGAGUUCAAGGCGUGAGUGUGGCAUUAAUUUUACUGAUAAGCCGUGCGGACGUUUGAGUUGGAUUAAAACACUAAAGGGGGGUAAGGUUUAUGAGAUGUUUGCCUAACCUAUUUUUUUUGGCUCUCUCUGUCGUUUUUUUUCUUUCCCAAACCCCCUUGCUGCUAAAAUUUUACUCCUUUUACCCCUCUCCUUCGUUUUCUUUCUUUAGAUUAGUGGUGGCGUACUGCUAGCGGUUAUGUCGACUCGGUAAGUAUAGUUUUGUUAAAUUGUAAGGUUUCUUUUGGAAAUUGUUUAAGAGGGAUGCAAAUUGCUAUUCUGGGGACACUCGAGGUUCUAUGGAUCGCUAAACGGGGUUCUAAAUAGCAAGUAAUCGUCGUUGUUCAUUGAAGGUAAGUAGAUCUUUCAUUUUGGGAUUUGUCUAUUCUAAACUAUUCGAAUCAAGAGACUAAAAUUUUGGCUUACAAUUGUCAAUAAUCGGUUCUAGAGUGCUCGGGUCGGUGUUAGGCUUCAAACAAAACCAGGUGUGUACUCCAUUUAUGCAGGAAACGAGUUUCAACGAAAGCCAAAAAGCUGUCUGUUGACGCCACACGGGAGUGUAGACUACUCGUGUGGUAGUCUGUAUUGUGAUACACGGGUGUGUGACUGAUGAUCCAAGCCGUAUGCGAGGCACGAGCUAGACCAAUUAGGCCAUGUAGGCCACACGAAUGUGUGAGCCCACAUCGAUGAACCACUCGGACGUGCGAGAAUUUAGGCCAGGCCGUGUGAUCCACACGGGCAAUGCCAAAUUGGGCUGCGUGAGCCAUACAGGUAGGCCAUAUGGGCGUGUGAGCCAGAAAUCUGAUUUGUUCUGGAAGGUUGCACGGGUCGCCCUAGUCGACUGUGACCUGUUAAAGGGGUCGGUAAGCGUUACUUAGGCCUUGUUCUGUGCCAUGAUAUUGAUAUGUAUGCUAGCAUGUUAUACUUUGCAUGGGUAUAAAUAUUGAUCUGAUCUGAGUAUAGUACACAUAAUCUAUUUACUGUUUGAAAGCAUGCCAUGACAUUAAUUAUGUUGCAUUGUAUUGGGUUGGGUUUAAUAUUGAAGAGAAGUAAGACUAAAAGGCUCUUUAGCCGCUUAUCUGGCAGCUUCGACGUAAUUAUUGAUAUGUGCCGUUUUACGGUACCUUAUGGUGUGUAGGGUUAGAUGGGUUGAUUUUAUCCCCAUACUUGGUGUAUAGGGCUGGAUGGGUCGAUUUUAUCCCCAUAUGGUAUGUUGGGUUGGACGGAGGUGGUGUGCAGGGUUAGUGGGCAUUACUCUUCUGAUUGAUAUACGUGUAUGUUUGUAUGGGCUAAGGCCCAAUUGUAUCUGAUACUGUUCUGAGUGGGCUAAAGCCUACAUCGAUUCUGUUAAGAGCUCAGACUCGAUUAUGACUGCUUGAUUGUUACCCGUUUACAUGCAUACUUUGCUGUGGGGACGUACACACUGAGUUUACGAAAACUCACCCUUUUAUUGUUUUAUUUGUCAGGUAAUCUCUAGCAAUAGAUGGAUCGUGCAGUGGAGGGCUCGACGAUGACCACCACUAGUCAUGUGUUGAUUUUAUGAGUUACAUUCUAUUUUAUUCUGCUUUCAUUUAACAUUUAUCUUCGAGAUUAUUUUUUUAUUCAGGCUCGAACUGUUUUGGGUUUACUUCAGGAUUUUUAACUUGUUUUAUUUUGUUGAUUUAUAAACGGCGACAGCAAAAAUACGUUUUGGAACCUUAACAAAUACAUUUUGGAACCUUAACUUAAGGGUUUUGGUGAAAAUGAAUGAUGCCAUAACUUUCUCGAAAAUGAAAGGUUUUUUUUAAAGUACUUUCAUGUAACGCCCCCAGAUUCGACCAUAAUGUCUAGGCUGGGUUUGGGGUGUUACAUUUAGUGGUAUCAGAGUCAGGCUGUAAAACUCGACUGUGGAUUUAGGUUUCAAAUUUUGGUUUUUGUAAAAUGAUUUGCAAAGCGAUUUGAAAUAACUUUGAUAAUGAGUAUGUGGUACAUCGAGCCUCCAGCACUGAUCUUGUAAGUUCUCUGAAACUCUAAUAUGUACUGUCUGAAUGCAUGCUUAUACUAAAAUUUUAUCUGUAUUUGUCUGAAAUACUGUGUAUGCAUUAUGAGAUUACUAUGGGUAGAACGUUACUGAAACACUUUAGGUAGUAUAAAGUGACAACCGUAGUGAGCCUGUAACUUGCGAUAACUGGCUCUAAAAUUAUGAUACUGUCUGCAUAAAAUAUCUGCUAAUUAUUAUCAAAACUGUAAACUGAUGUGCAUAAAACUUCUAAAUACAGAUUAAUUCGAUAGUUACGAUGAGUACAUGUGGUACUCAUAGACGGGGUACUAGAGGCUGAGGUAGAGGCCGUAGAGGGAUUCGAGCUGAGUCCUUCGUAUCUGGUACGAUCCCUAAUCUGGACACUAGUGAGAUGCUGGUGUCAUCUGUUACUGAGACGGGUGCUGAGUCUCAAGGUUGUGCAGCUGGGGACGACGCACUAUCUCAGGCCAUACUGCGAAUUCUAGAGAGGUUCGCUGGGGCUAAUACUAGAUCUAGAGGCCGUGGGUCAGUUACGGAAUAACUUCGAUUGAAUGGGGCUAAGAUAUUCAGAGGCAUCGCUGGAGUUGCUCCCAGUGUGGCUGAGUACUGGAUGGAGGCCACGGAGCGUAUCAUGGACGAUCUGGACUUUUCUGAUGAGUAGAAGCUCAAGGGGGCUGUGUCAUUGCUGCGAGAUGAGGCGUGUCAGUGGUGGCUGACCGUUAAGAAGGGCACUCAGCCCAAUCAACUGACUUGGGAUCUGUUUAAGAUCACUUAUCAGAGUAAGUACGUGGAAGCCAGCUACAAUGAUGUUAGGCGAUGUGAGUUCCUAAAUCUGACUCAGGGUGACCGUUCAGUGGCUAAGUUCAUUAGAUUGAGCUAUUAUACGAGGGGCAUGGUGGCGACUGAGUAUGAGCGUUGUGUCCAAUUUGAGGAUGGUCUCCGUGAUGGUUUACGAGUUCUGAUAGCUCCACAAAGGGAGCGAGAUUUCUCCACCUUGGUCGAGAAGGCCAAGAUAACCAUAGAGGUGAAGCGCUCUGAGCGCCAAAACCGUGAAAAAGGGAAGGCUAAGAGGGAUUAUGAGAUUACGAAUGUGGGGAUGAAGCCUAAGAAAAAGGUCAGGACUGAUGGGCCCGUGAGAGCUGAGCCUACUGUUGCUGUUCCUGUUACGAUGGUGAUGUGCCAGCUUUGUAAUAGACACCAUCCGGGUGAGUGUUGAAGAGUUACUAGGGCUUGUUUGAGGUGGGUCGACUGAGCAUCGAGUUAAGGAUUGUCCACUGAGGGGUAAUCAGAUGCAAGCUCCGGUUGCUGAGACUACACAGCCGUCGAGAAGGGUACAGCAGCCACCUAGAGGCCGAGGACAGGUUAGGGCUGGUAACGGUAUGGGUCGAGGUCAGAGAGCACUAGGCAAAUGAGUUGGGCUGACUGAGGCGAGGUAGCCUGCACUUGUCUUGCUGCACAUCGUCGUGAAGAUGGAGGUGCUUUGGACAUCAUCACGGGUACAUUUUUAAUUCUUGAUGUACCUUAUGUUGCACUGAUAGACAUAGGCUUUACACAUUCCUAUGUUGGUUGUUCUAUGUCUAAGACUUUGAGAAUACCGUAUGAGAGCACUUCUAGUUGGAUUUCAAUGAUGAGUCCGUUGGGGCAAUCUAUUAGGGUUAGUAAAUUGUUUAAAGACAUUCCAUUGGAAAUUCAAAGGAUGAUAUUUUUGGUUGAUCUGAUGGAACUUCUGUUUGGGGAAUUUGGACUUAAUUCUGGGAAUGGACUGGUUGGUGAAGCAUCAUGUAAGUCUGGAUUGUACUGAAAAGAGGGUUGUUCGGAGGACCUAGGAGGAUAACGAGAUAGUCGUGAUUGGUGAACGACGGAAUUAUUUGUCUAAUAUGAUAUCUGUGUUAGUGGCAGAGAAGCUAGUGAGGAAAUGAUGUGAGGUAUUCUUAGCCUACAUCAGUGUUUCUGAUUCUGUGGACUAUUCGGUUAAGGACAUCCGUACUUUGAGGGACUUUUUAGAUAUUUUUCCAGAAGAAUUACCGGGAUUGCCUCUGAGUCGUGAGAUAGAUUUUGGGAUCGAAUUGAUUCUUGGUACAGCUCUGGUGUAUAUUGCCCCUUAUCGAAUGGCACCGAAAGAGCAGGUAGAACUUAAGGUUCAAAUGCAGGAGCUGUUAGAUCGUAGGUUUAUUCGUCCUAGUGUGUCUCCAUGAGGAGCCCCUGUUCUAUUCGUAAAGAAGAAGGAUGGUACGAUGAUGAUGUGUAUCGAUAACCGUCAGUUGAAUAAGUUGACGAUUAAGAAUAAAUACCCACUUCCAAGGAUAGACAAUUUAUUCGAUUAGUUCAGAGGGCUUCUAUGUUCUCUAAGAUCGAUCUGCGAUCAGGUUAUCAUUGGUUAAGGGUUAAGGAGGUCGAUGUGCAUAAGACGGCGUUUAAGACUCGUUAUGGACAUUACGAGUUCUUGGUUAUGCCCUUUGGGUUGACUAAUGCACCAACAACAUUUAUGGACUUGAUGAACUGUGUGUUUCAGCCCUACUUAGACCAGUUCAUGGUGGUAUUUAUCGAUGAUAUAUUUAUUUACUCUAAGUCUGAGGAUGAGCACGAUGAGCAUCUCAGGGUUGUUCUGCAGAUCCUUCAUGAGAAAUAGCUUUAUGCGAAGUUCUCUAAGUGUGAGUUUUGGCUUCAGGAAGUAAUCCUUUUGGGACAUGUGGUGUCUGCUAGGGAAAUUUGUAUUGAUCCUCGUAAGAUUGAGGCUGUGUUGGAUUGGAAACAACCAAAGAAUGUGUCGGAGGUCUACAGUUUUCUGGGACUGGUAGGAUAUUACCAACGUUUCGUAGAAAAGUUCUCGUUGAUCGUAGCACCGUUGACUAAGUUACUGUGUAAGAGAGUUCCUUUUGUUUGGACUGAAGCACAGUAGGAGAGCUUUGAGAAACUCAAGACAGUUUUGACUCAGGCCCCGGUUCUGAUACAGCCUGAGCCUAGCAAGAAGUUCGUAGUGUACAGCGACGCGUCACAGGUGGGUUUGGGUUGCAUUCUGAUGCAAGGCAGUAAGGUAGAUGCUUAUGCAUAUCGUCAUCUCAAGACUCACAAGGCUAAUUAUCCGAUGCAUGAUUUAGAGUUGGCUGCAGUUGUCUUUGCAUUAAAGAUUUGAAGGAAUUAUUUGUACAGUGAGAAGUGUACCAUCUACACUGAUCACAAGAGCCUCAAGUAUCUUCUUACUCAGAAGGAGUUAAAUCUUAGGCAGCAUCGGUGGGUUGAGCUGCUUAAAGAUUACGACUGUAGUAUUGAGUAUUAUUCAGGUAAGGCCAAUGUGGUGGACGAUGUGUUAAACCAUAGGGAUAGAACCGAUUUGAGGGCGAUGUUCGCUCAAUUGAGUCUUUAUGACGAUAGGAGUCUCCUGGCUGAGUUGCAGGUUAGACCGAUAUGAGUAGAUUAGAUUAAGGAUAAGCAGUUAGGAGAUAAGUCCCUUAAGUUGUGAUUCCGACAUGUUGAGGCUAGAACUACUACUGAUUUUGGGAUUGACAGUGAUGGGGUAUUGUAUUUCCGAGGUAGGAUCUAUGUACCUAAUGAUGAGGAUUUGAGACUGUCGAUUCCGGGGGAGGCACAUAGUAGUCCUUACGCUAUGCAUCUUGGUGGGAACAAAAUGUAUUAGGAUCUCUGAAAGUUGUAGUGGUGGCCAGGGUUGGAACGUGAAGUGGCCAACUUUGUUGCUCGUUGUUCGACUUGUUAGUAGGUUAAGACUAAUCAUCAGUUACCUUCGGGUUUACUACAGCCAGUGAAGAUACCGAUGUGGAAAUGAGAGUGAGUAGCGAUGGACUUCGUUAGUGGGUUGCCUUUAAAACCCACUAAAAGGGAUUCUGUUUGGGUUAUAGUGGAUUGAUUGACCAAGUCGGCACAUUUCAUUCCUGUUAGGACAGACUUCUCUUUACAGAAGUUGGCUAAACUUUACAUCUCUGAGAUAGUAAGACUGCAUGGGGUUCUUGUUUCGAUCAUCUCCGAUAGAGAUCCUUAUUUUACAUCUCGAUUUUGGUAGAAACUUCAUGAGGCUUUAGGUUCUCGUCUUGACUUUAGUACUGCUUUUCAUCUUCAGACAGAUGGUUAGUUAGAGAGGGUGGUUCAGCUACUGGCGGAUAUGCUGAAGGGUUAUGUUAUGGAUUUCAGAGGUAGUUGGGAGGAAUACAUGCCUUUGGUAGAGUUUGCUUACAAUAACAACUAUCAGUCUAGUAUUCAAAUGGCACCGUAUGAGACACUUUAUGGUCGUAAGUGUCGCACUCCUUUGUGCUGGACUAAGUUGGGUGAGCGAUGUGUUCUGGGUCCGGAGUUGAUUUCAGAGACUGAGGAUAAGGUUCGGUUGAUUCGAGAGCAUCUGAAAGCGGCUUUUGAUAGACAGAAGUCUUAUGCUGACUUGAAGAGGAAGGACAUUGAGUAUUCUGUGGGGGACUUGGUUUUUCUUAAAGUUUCGCCAUGGAAGAAGGUGCUGAGAUUCGGUCGGAAGGGCAAGUUAAGCCUUAGGUUCAUUGGACCGUACUGGAUUCUGAAGUGAGUAGGGCUGGUCGCGUAUCAGUUGGAACUUCCUCCAAAGUUGGAUCGUAUACAUGAUGUAUUCAAUGUAUCGAUGUUGAGACGUAACCGCUCUGAACCUGCGCACAUUGUGCCUGUGCAGGAGAUUGAUGUUAGACCAGAUCUGACAUUUGAGGAGAAGCCAGCUCAGAUUUUGGAUUAUGACGUUAAGGUUCUGCGUAGGAAAUCUAUUCCUUUAGUGAAGGUGCUGUGGCGGAAUCAUAGCACUAAGGAGGUUACUUGGGAGCUAGAGUAUUCGAUGCGACAGCAGUAUCCUUACCUUUUCUGAUAAGGUAAAAUUUGAGGACGAAUUUUCUUUUAGGGGAUAGAGUUGUAAUGCCCCAAAUUUCGUAAUUUUGGCUUUUGGAAUAUUUGUUGUAUUCUGCCCUAUUUUUGACAAAUAUAUGCCAGCUUAUGUGAUUAAGUGCUUUAGGGUGUGUUGGGGAGGUCCCAAGUUCGAGCCUUAACUUGGGCUAAAAUUUGGUUUUUAUUUGGAUAAAGCCUGACUUUUGGUUAGUGGGCUUAUAAGAAUUUAUUGGUAGGAACUUAACAGAAUGGGCCUGCUAGUCUAGUGGUUAAGUGGCAAGGAAUUAUGCCUGAGAUCCUGAGUUCAAGGCAUGAGUGUGGCAUUAAUUUUACUGGUAAACCGUGCGGACGUUUGAGUUGGAUUAAAACACUAAAGGGGGGUAGGGUUUAUGAGAUGUUUGCCUAUCCUGUUUUUCUUUUUGGCUUUCUCUGUCAUUUUCUUCUUUUCCAAGUCCCGAGCGUGUGAGGCUGGCUAGGCCGUGUACGACGUACGAGGUAGACCAAUUGGGCUGUAUGGGCCACACGGGCGUUUGGGCCCACACGAGAGUGCGAGAAUCUGGGCCAGGCCGUGUGAUCCACACGGGCAAGGCCAAAUUGGGCUGUGUGAGCCAUACGAGUGUGUGGGCUCACACGGGCAGACCACAUAGGCGUGUGAGCCCAGAAAUCUAAUUUUUUCUAGAAGGUUACACGGGUCGCCCUAGUCGACUGUGACCUGUUAAAGGGGUCGGUAAGCGUUACUUAGGCCUUGUUCUGUGCCAUGAUAUUGAGAUGUAUGCUAACAUGUUAUACUUAGCAUGGUUAUAAAUAUUGAUCUGAUCUGAGUAUAGUACACAUAAUCUAUUUACUAUUUGAAAACAUGCCAUGACAUUAAUUAUGUUGCAUUGCAUUGGGUUGGGUUUGAUAUUGAAGAGAAGGAAGACUGAAAGGCUCUUUAGCCGCUUAUCUGGCAGCUUCGCUGCAAUUAUUGAUAUGUGUCGUUUUACGGUACCUUAUGGUGUGUGGGGUUGAAUGGGUUGAUUUUAUCCCCAUACUUGGUGGGCUAGGUAGGUCAAUUUUAUCCCCACAUGGUGUGUUGGGUUUGAUGGAAAUGGUAUGCAGGGUUGGUGGGCAUUACUGUUCUGAUUGAUAUGCAUGUAUAUCUGUAUGGGCUAACGCCCGAAUGUAUCUGAUACUGUUCUGAGUGGGCUAAGGCCUACAUCGAUUCUGUUAAGAGCUCAGGCUCGAUUAUGACUGUUUGAUUGUUACCCGUUUACAUGCAUGCUUUACUGUGGGGACGUACACAUUAAGUUUGCAAAAACUCACCCCUUUAUUGUCUUAUUUGUCAGGUAAUCUCCAGCAGUGGAUGGAUCGGUGCAGUGGAGGGCUUGACGAUGACCAUCACUAGUCAUGUGUUGAUUUUAUGAGUUACAUUCUAUUUUAUUAUGCAUUCAUUUAACAUUUAUCUUCGAGAUUAUUUUUGUAAUUAGGCUAGAGCUAUUUUGGAUUUAUUUUGGGAUUUUUAACUUCUUUAACUUUGUUGAUUUAUAAACGGCCACACCACAAAUACGUUUUGGAACCUUAACUUAAGAGUUUUCGUAAAAAUGAAUGAUGUCAUAACUUCCUCGAAAAUGAAAGUUUUUUUUUAAAGUACUCUCAUGUAGCGCCACCAAAUUCGGCCAUAACGUCUAGGCCGGGUUUGGGGUGUUACACCUCACACGGUUAAGACGCACGCCGGUGUCUCAAGCCGUGUAACCUUUGAACUAGGGACAUACGGUCGUGUCUCAGCUCGUAUGCUCACUCGUAUAACUCAUUAAGUAGGGUUACAAGGCCGUAUGGCUAAGCCGUGUGUCUCACAUGGUUGAGUCACACGCCCG